GACGAACGCUGGCGGCGUGCUUAACACAUGCAAGUCGAACGCUGAAGCUCAGCUUUUGUUGGGUGGAUGAGUGGCGAACGGGCGAGUAACACGUGAGUAACCUGCCUCCUUCUUUGGGAUAACGCCCGGAAACGGGUGCUAAUACUGGAUAUUCACUGGUCUUCGCAUGGGGGUUGGUGGAAAGGGUUUUUCUGGUGGGGGAUGGGCUCGCGGCCUAUCAGCUUGUUGGUGGGGUGAUGGCCUACCAAGGCUUUGACGGGUAGCCGGCCUGAGAGGGUGACCGGUCACAUUGGGACUGAGAUACGGCCCAGACUCCUACGGGAGGCAGCAGUGGGGAAUAUUGCACAAUGGGCGCAAGCCUGAUGCAGCGACGCCGCGUGAGGGAUGGAGGCCUUCGGGUUGUGAACCUCUUUCGCUCAUGGUCAAGCCGCAACAAUGGUUGUGGUGAGGGUAGUGGGUAAAGAAGCGCCGGCUAACUACGUG
rnacentral:rRNA from 1 species